rnacentral:tRNA from 1 species
GUUUUAAUAAUUUAAAUAAAAAUCUUGGUCUUGUAAAUCAAAAAUAAGUAAUUAUUACUUUUAAAACU